rnacentral:rRNA from 1 species
CCUACGGGUGGCAGCAGUGAGGAAUAUUGGUCAAUGGCCGGAAGGCUGAACCAGCCAAGCCGCGUGAAGGACGACGGUGCCAAGCAUUGUAAACUUCUUUUGUCAAGGGAUAAAAUGAGGCUCGAGAGCCUGACUGAGGGUACUUGAAGAAAAAGCAUCGGCUAACUCCGUGCCAGCAGCCGCGGUAAUACGGAGGAUUCGAGCGUUAUCCGGAUUUAUUGGGUUUAAAGGGUGCGUAGAGGGGCUGUUAAGUCAGUGGGUAAAGCCGGGGGCUCAACCGCAGACUGGCAAUUGAAACUGGCAGUCUUGAGGACUGUAGAGGUAUGCGGAAUGCGUGGUGUAGCGGUGAAAUGCUUAGAUAUUACGAAGAACUCCGAUUGCGAAGGCAGCUUACCA